rnacentral:tRNA from 1 species
GCCUUCGUGGUGUAAUGGUCAGCACACUUGGCGUGCAUCAAGAGGUCUGCGGUUCGAGUCCCUGUGAGAGCA